GACGAACGCUGGCGGCGUGCUUAACACAUGCAAGUCGAUCGGUAAGGCCCUUCGGGGUACACGAGUGGCGAACGGGUGAGUAACACGUGGGUGAUCUGCCCUGCACUUCGGGAUAAGCCUGGGAAACUGGGUCUAAUACCGGAUAGGACUCCGGACUGCAUGGUCUGGGGUGGAAAGCUUUUGCGGUGUGGGAUGGGCCCGCGGCCUAUCAGCUUGUUGGUGGGGUGAUGGCCUACCAAGGCGACGACGGGUAGCCGGCCUGAGAGGGUGACCGGCCAUACUGGGACUGGGAUACGGCCCAGGCUCCUACGGGGGGCAGCAGUGGGGAAUAUUGCACAAUGGGCGCAAGCCUGAUGCAGCGACGCCGCGUGAGGGAUGACGGCCUUCGGGGUGUAAACCUCUUUCAGCAUCGACGAAGCGAAAGUGACGGUAGGUGCAGAAGAAGGACCGGCCAACUACGUGCCAGCCGCCGCCGUAA
rnacentral:rRNA from 1 species